rnacentral:rRNA from 1 species
GACAGACUUAAUUUAAUAAUUUCUACAUCAUUAAUUUAUCUUAAUUCAACAUCGAGGUCGCAAUUCUUUUUUAUCAAUAUGAACUAUCUAAAAAAAUUACGCUGUUAUCCCUAAGGUAAUUUAUUAUAAUUUUAAUAAUAUUAGAUUUUUAAUACAUAAAUUAAUGUUUAAUUAAUUAAAAAAAUUUAUUAAAUUUUUUUAUCACCCCAAUAAAAUAUAAUAAAUUAUUAAAUAAUUUUAUUAAAUAAUUAAUAAUUAUAAAUAUUAAAUUCUAUAGGGUCUUCUCGUCUUUUAAUAAUUUUUAAGAAUUUUUACUUAAUAUAAAAUUUAAUUUUUUAUUUUGAGACAGUUUUUAUUUCAUUAAAUCAUUCAUUCUAGACUUAAUUAAUAAGACAAUUGAUUAUGCUACCUUUGUACAGUUAAUAUACUGCAGCUAUUUAAUUUAUCAUUGAGCAGAAUUUGACUUUAGAUUUUUUUCAAAAAGACAUGUUUUUGAUAAAC